AGAGUUUGAUCAUGGCUCAGAACGAACGCUGGCGGCAGGCCUAACACAUGCAAGUCGAACGCUGUAGCAAUACAGAGUGGCAGACGGGUGAGUAACGCGUGGGAACCUUCCCAGUGGUGCGGAAUAGCUCAGGGAAACUUGAGGUAAUACCGCAUAAGCCCUUAGGGGGAAAGAUUUAUCGCCAUUGGAUGGGCCCGCGUCGGAUUAGCUAGUUGGUGGGGUAAUGGCCUACCAAGGCUUCGAUCGGUAGCCGGCCUGAGAGGGCGGACGGCCACACUGGGACUGAGACACGGCCCAGACUCCUACGGGAGGCAGCAGUGGGGAAUUUUUCGCAAUGGGCGAAAGCCUGACGAAGCAACGCCGCGUGGAGGAUGAAGGCCUUCGGGUCGUAAACUCCUGUCGACCGGGACGAAAGUAGGAUGGCCUAAUACGCCGAUCUAUUGACUGUACCGGUGGAGGAAGCCACGGCUAACUCUGUGCCAGCCGCCGCGGUAAUAC
rnacentral:rRNA from 1 species